UACAGAGGAUGCAAGCGUUAUCCGGAAUGAUUGGGCGUAAAGCGUCUGUAGGUGGCUUUUUAAGUCCGCCGUCAAAUCCCAGGGCUCAACUCUGGACAGGCGGUGGAAACUACCAAGCUGGAGUACGGUAGGGGCAGAGGGAACUUCCGGUGGAGCGGUGAAAUGCGUAGAUAUCGGAAGGAACACCGGUGGCGAAAGCGGCGCGCUGGACCUCUUCUGACGCUGAGGCGCGAAAGCCAGGGGAGCAAACGGG
rnacentral:rRNA from 1 species